rnacentral:tRNA from 1 species
AUUUAAGUAGUUUAAUUUUUAAAAAUAUUAAUUUGUGGGGUUAAAGAAAUAAAAUAUUUAUCUUAAAUA